CCACUAGAUUGGGCAUUCUACCUUUGUGCUUAUGUGCAGCUCUGACCUUGGGGCAACUCCAAUAUUUACCCAUGUUCAUCCUGGGAAACAUCUGUUUCCUUUCUUUUCUUUCUUUCUUUCUUUCUUUCUUUCUUUCUUUCUUUCUUUCUUUCUUUCUUUCUUUCUUUCUUUCUUUCUUUCUUUCUUUCUUUCUUUUUUUGAGACGGAGUCUCUCUCUGUCGCCAGGCUGGAGUGCAGUGGUGCAAUCUCGGUUCACUGCAAUUUCUGCCUCCUGGGUUCAAGCAAUUCUCCUGCCUCAGCCUCCCAUGUAGCUGGGACUACAGGCAUGUACCACCAUGCCCAGCUAAUUUUUGUAUUUUUAGUAGAGACAAUGUUUCACCACGUUGGCCAGGAUGGUCUCGAUCUCUUGACGUCGUGAUCUGCUUGCCUUGGCCUCUCAAAGUGCUGGGUUUACAGGCGUGAGCCACUGCACCCAGCUGUGCAUGUUUAUUUCUACCUGUCCUUUGUGAUGAAAAGGAAACCUCAUCCUGACUUGGCUCUGCUAUUAGCUUAAUGAGUUCAGAGAAGUAAGAGACAGGGUCUCCCUCUGUCACCCAGGCUAGAGUGCAGUGGUGAUCAUGGCUCCCUGCAGCUCGACCUCCCAUGUUCAACAAUCCUCCCACCUCAGCCUUCUUGGUAGCUGAGACUACAGAAAACUGAGGUCAAGUUUAUUAGUAUGCGAAGGCUGCCAUAAUUAAUUAGGAUCUGGGGCUCAGCUGUGAAUUUCUAUCACUGAAGCUGUCCAGUCCUUGGAUGCACACGGAGACAGGUGGGCUGAGUAAUGGGAAUGUUCUUGGAAAGCCGGAGGACCUCUGCAGUAUUGCCCAGCAGCUCAGUGACAGGUCCUGAUGACCAAGAGACUGAUUUCCCAUCAUUUCCUAAAGAAACAGGGACUGCACCCUGAUCCUCCUUUCGGAGCUCCUGGGGCCCAUCUCUUGGGGCCAUGCGGAUUGUUUGGGACUGACCCCAUCCCAAAGUGCCAGGGCGAGCCCAAUCUCCAGGCCUGGCCAAGCGGAACACCCCUGACUCCAGUGAUUGGUUCAGGGAUCCAGGGGCCAGCUGAUCAGUCCAAAACUUUCCUGGAAAUCCUGGGAGAGACUUUGCCUUCCUUGCUGAGAUUGCCAGUCUGGGAGAAUGUAAGCCUGGGGGUGUUGGGGGCCAUCUUUGCCAUCUUACAGGGAGAGCCUGCCACCCAUACAGAGGCAGAAUGGAGAGCAGGAGGAAGACACAGUGUCCUGUGUCUAGACACAGGAGAGCUCGUGUUUCCAGUCAUGCCUUACUUAUGUUCAUUAUGAUUGAGGUGGGCUAACAUUUCAGGUGUAAUUCCCUUUCUGUGAACUGCUGCUCAUAUCUUUUACUGAUUUUUCUACUGGGUUAUUGGUGUUUUUCUCAUAGAUUUGCAGAAACUUUCUUUUCUUUUAGUAGUUAUUUUUCAUUGAGG
rnacentral:lncRNA from 13 species